rnacentral:rRNA from 1 species
CCUACGGGAGGCAGCAGUGGGGAAUAUUGGACAAUGGGCGAAAGCCUGAUCCAGCCAUGCCGCGUGUGUGAAGAAGGCCUUCGGGUUGUAAAGCACUUUCAGUGGGGAAGAAAGCCUUGGGGCUAAUACCCUCGAGGAAGGACAUCGCCCACAGAAGAAGCACCGGCUAACUCCGUGCCAGCAGCCGCGGUAAUACGGAGGGUGCGAGCGUUAAUCGGAAUUACUGGGCGUAAAGCGCGCGUAGGCGGUCUGAUAAGCCGGUUGUGAAAGCCCCGGGCUCAACCUGGGAACGGCAUCCGGAACUGUCAGGCUAGAGUGCAGGAGAGGAAGGUAGAAUUCCCGGUGUAGCGGUGAAAUGCGUAGAGAUCGGGAGGAAUACCAGUGGCGAAGGCGGCCUUCUGGACUGACACUGACGCUGAGGUGCGAAAGCGUGGGUAGCAAACAGGAUUAGAUACCCGAGUAGUC